rnacentral:rRNA from 1 species
AACGAGCGCUGGCGGCAGGCUUAACACAUGCAAGUCGAACGCCCCGCAAGGGGAGUGGCAGACGGGUGAGUAACGCGUGGGAAUCUACCUAGUUCUACGGAACAACACAGGGAAACUUGUUCUAAUACCGUAUACGCCCUACGGGGGAAAGAUUUAUCGGAAUUAGAUGAGCCCGCGUAAGAUUAGCUAGUUGGUGGGGUAAUGGCCUACCAAGGCGACGAUCUUUAGCUGGUCUGAGAGGAUGAUCAGCCACACUGGGACUGAGACACGGCCCAGACUCCUACGGGAGGCAGCAGUGGGGAAUAUUGGACAAUGGGCGCAAGCCUGAUCCAGCCAUGCCGCGUGAGUGAUGAAGGCCUUAGGGUUGUAAAGCUCUUUCAGUGGGGAAGAUAAUGACGGUACCCACAGAAGAAGCCCCGGCUAACUUCGUGCCAGCCGCCGCCGUAA